UACGUAGGGUGCGAGCGUUAAUCGGAAUUACUGGGCGUAAAGCGUGCGCAGGCGGCUUUGCAAGACAGAGGUGAAAUCCCCGGGCUCAACCUGGGAACUGCAUUUGUGACUGCAAGGCUAGAGUACGGCAGAGGGGGAUGGAAUUCCGCGUGUAGCAGUGAAAUGCGUAGAUAUGCGGAGGAACACCAAUGGCGAAGGCAAUCCCCUGGGCCUGUACUGACGCUCAUGCACGAAAGCGUGGGGAGCAAACAGG
rnacentral:rRNA from 1 species